UCCUCCUCCUCGGGGCCCGGCUCCGCCAUCAGCCCGCGCGCGGCUCGCCAGGAGGGCGGGGCCUGAGCGCGGCGGAGCUUCCCGUGACCCGGAGAAGGGAAGAGGCGGGGCUGCAACGUGACCCAGAAGCGGAAAUGCUGCUGUUCUGCCCGGCUUGCGGGAACGUGCUGGUGGCUGAGGAAGGCGCGAGAUGCCACCGCUUCGCCUGCACCACGUGUCCCUACGUGCGCAACGUCACGCGCAAGGUGAGCAGCCGGAAGUACCCGAAGCUGAAGGAGGUGGAUGAUGUGCUGGGUGGCGCUGCAGCUUGGGAGAAUGUGGACUCCACGGCAGCCAUGCUCCGAGUUCAGAGAAGCCCAGUCUCACGGAGCUCAGAAAGGAGAGCUGUGUCGACUCAACUCUGCCUUCAGAUAGAUUUCAUGUCAAAGUAGCAAAAAAACCAAACCAAUGGAUAAAAAGGCCAAGUGAGAGCUGCGAGAUUGUUUAAGCUGCAUCAGAAACAAGAAUUGUCAAAUGGAAGAUGUUUUAGAGACAAUUCAGUGCAAUUAUAAGAAUACCACACAUGUAUACUUCUUACUAUGCAUAACUGAUCUGCUGUUACACACCGACAGAAGCAGCCGAAGAGGAAAAAGAGGACAGAUUUUAUCAACUGUAGAUGAGAUUUGAGCAUGAUACGAUUUUGAUAAUGGGAGAUAUGAAUGCAAAGGUUGGUAGCAGGCAUGGUACACAAAUGAAUAAUGUUGGACCACACAGCAUUGUAACAGCAACUGAUAAUGCGUAAAGGUUAAGAACUUGCUAUGAGAUGCUCACAAGGUUACAUGGAGUUCAUCAGAUGGUCAAAUCAAAAACCAGAUUAAUCACAUCAUCACCAGUAAAAGGCACAGACCAUCACUGAUGAAUGUUAGAGUUUAUAGAAAUGCUAAGCGUGGCACUGGUCAUGAACUACUAAUGGGAAAGAUGAAGAUUAAGUUGAAGUCCAAGAAAGAGAGGAGUGAAACUGGAGCGAAAUUUGAUCUUGAUAAGUUAAAGGAUAGCUCUGUGAGGGAGGCAUAGAAAGUGACGCAUGGAGGGCAUUUCAGGUCAUUAAUCUGUGAUGAUGAAGACAUCUCACUACAGACCAGAUAGGAAAUAUUCAAGGAAGUAAUAGAAAACAGUGGAGGAAGUUCAUGGGAAGUUAUCGUACUACUGGCAGACGUGAAUUAAUUACUUUCCUCUUUGCUACCUUGAAACAUUGGUGUAGGCGAUUUGGAAUAAAUGCCAAGACAACAAAGCGGCUGUAUCUUGGAAAAGAGAUAACAGAUAGAGUGUCGACAUACAAUGGUGGUGAAGUCAUAGAAAAAGGUAAAUCUUAAGUGUACCUAGGAAGCUUGGUCAGUGCCAAUGUUUCCAUCGAUGAUGAAGUUAAAAUUAUGUUGUUUUAGCUACAAGUGCUGCACAGAAAUUGAUAAAAUUAUGGGCUGAUAAAAACAUUACAUUUGGAACCAGAGUGAAAAUUUAUCAAACCAGUGUAUUAACAAAACUACUCUAUGGUCUGGAAGCAGCUGCAUUAAAAACAGGAGGCUGGAGGCAGCAGAGAUGAGAAUACUCUGAAAGGUGGGAGGUGUAAAGCUGAAUGCUUUUAAGACAAAUGAAGUUAGAAGGAAAGCAGAAUGGAAAAUCCAGGUACAGGACUGCAUGCAGCUGAAAAGAUUACAAUGGUAAGGACGCUGAAGAAGACAAACAGAUGAUACAGUGCCAAAGAAAAUAAUGCAAAACAACAAAGGCCAGUCUGACCGAAUAGGUGGAGGGACAUUGUACGCAGGGACAUGACCAGGCUGGGUUUCAUGGAGGAACAAGCCAGGUAUAGGAAUGAAUGGUGAUGCUGUAUUGCUCCCUGUGUCUGCAAAGGCGCUUGGAGAUAAAAAGAUAUUUAUUCCAGGCAGAGCAGGUAGUGUCACCUAUUAAGAUUACCUGAUUUCCCAUCAUAAAACCCUUAUAGCUUUGCCAAACUUUAAGCUCAAGCUGAAUUGUUUUUUUUAAAGUUUCAGUCACAACUGCUCACCUGUUUCUGAAUGAAGUUAGGGAAAAAUGUUUUGUUAUGAUAAAAUUCUGGUGACCUUCAAUUUGAGAUGCUCUAGAGGCUUUGGCAUAGGGACUUGAAAUUCAGCAGGGAGUGGCCUCUGUGUCAGAGAGGUACCUUUUGCCAUGACCAUGAAAAUACACCCACAUUUGGCCAAGUUACAAGCCUUUGAAAAAUUUCAGUUUGCACGUGCUCAGUGGAGACUUGGGAGUUUCAUGACAGUUUUUUUUAAGAUUCCAUACACUGAGUAUGCUCCAGCCUAGGGCUGAAGGGGCCAAGCAGGACUUUCCCUGCAAUUGCUGGUCCUAGCUACUAUGAGGUCAGGAUGGGGCACUGCAAUUGAGAGCAGGAAAACUCUCUCCUGUGGUCUCAAUGGUCCCCUGGCUGGCACCCAGGCUUGUGGAGAAGGAAGACACCUGACAGACACUAAUACAGAAGGAACAAAAGCCGGUGGGGUGGGGUGGGGUGGGGUGGGGAGGAGAGCGGGACAAGGGAACAGGACAGGACCAAGGACUGGGAUUGCCUGGGCAGGGGGACAGGAGCCAGCAGGAAUACAGAGAUUGAGCAGGGAGACUGAGCAAGGAAUCAGACAUGGGGAGAAGAGGAGACAGAUCUAAUGACAAAAAAGGGGUAUGGGGAGAACUAUGUCUAGCUGGGGAAAAAGGCAAGGAGCUAGGGACAGGGUAGACUGUGAGAAAGCUGGCCAGAAUGGAGGUGGGGAGACAAACUGGAUAAUCAGCCCAGAGAGGAAGACUGGGACUGGGAACCACUGGGGGCAUGGGAAAAGAGGGACUCAGACUGAGAGUGGAGAUGGGGAGAUUAGGACUGGGAUGAGAAACUUGAGGAGUGGAGACUUGCACUGCCUAAGCAAGGAGACAGGGAUGAGAAGGAGACAGGACUGGAACAGAGACAGGUUGCAGGAGAUGGGAUAGAAGGUGUCAUGUCUGAGGGGGAAUAGGCAGAAAUGUCUGAGUCCACUAAAGCACACUCCUGUCCAGUGUCUGCAAUCGAACCUAGUAUUCCUGAGUGUGAUCAUUCUUCUGCUGUCAGCAAAUAUCUAUGAAACCCACUGGCAAAGUGACCAACCCCUCCUCUAGUACUUGUUCACAGAGACUGACAACCUACUUCUGCUAUCAGUUAAUCUGUUAGCUCAGGUAGAAGAGGCCCAUGGAUUGGAACCUGGUUCCAGAUUCCAAUCCUGAUAAUGACCCAUGUGGGUGAGUCCAUAUGAUGCCACAUAACAGAAUUUGUUUUCUGUGUGUAGUACAUAUCAUACCCCCCCCCUCCAAAAAUUCAGAAACAGAUGUCAGGAAGGUCUGUACCUAGUUUAAAGUAAAAGUUAAAGUGCCCUAGAACAUGACCCAGGCUACAGUAACUUUAAUGAGUAAGUCUGUGGAACUCAGAAGUGAUAUGGCGGGACCAAGAAUCCCUUCAUCCCAAACUCUGACUCCACUAUGAGUGGUGCACCUGCCUCUCCCUCAGGAUGUCACAGAUCAUGUAGCAUUCCAGACUAACUUGUAGAGAGAUGCUGAAAGAGGGACACUGGAGAUCUGUAUUAAUACGUUGGAGGGGGACAAAAAAGCAGGAACCCAAGUAUGGUGGAAUGAAAUCCUUAACUUCACUUCAUAAGAAUUUAGAAA